ACCAAAUAAUGCAUGCAAACACAAACAUAAUUGCACUGUGUCAAAAACAAUGCAUCCAAACAGAUGGCCCGACCGAACUAGAUGUCCACAGUCUCUCAAACUGUUGGCUGUGUUCAUCACACAACAAAACUGCACACCACACAAUGUACGCAACCCAGGGUACGACAUGGCGGUAUUUUGUUUCUUUUUCCCUCUAAUGAAAAAACAUUAAACGUAACCUUAAAAAACAGCGCUGGUGAGCUACACUAGACUGAACUUUUUGAGAAAAAUGUCCAUUCGCAAAGUGUGUGGCCGUCCCAGCACUAAACGCCGCCCACUGCCGGCGCGACACCGCUUUCAUCGUUGGCCACCUGUCGGACCGCCAAGAACCCAACCAUGAGCUGCACACCGACAACCACAUAAUUGCACACAAAUAGACGAAGGAGGAAGCAUUAGAUGAGGAGCCGCACAUCUUGGAUCUGCUACCUGACAGGGCCAGACGGGGGAACUCCAGGCUCCCGAGGAUCACAAAACCUCCACGCGCACUGCAACACCGGCGCAAUCGAACUGCAACGAGAGGCGGGGCGAGCUGUACCUGCGUAGGCCGCUGGAGAGAGGGAUCCUCCUGCACUGCUCGUCGAAGAUAACAUGGUUAGAGGUUGGUGAGGGCGAGGUAGGGGCCAGAACGCCCGGAUCUGAAGCCGGAGUGACGUACAUGAGUACCUCCGCCUCUGGUCGUCGACAGAAGUGAAUGGGGAGGUGCUACUCCUGCAAACGUGCCCUCCAUGGAUAGGGAGGAGGCGGGGCGGGUCCGUCCAUGGCAGUGCGGGUCCAGGCCUCCAAGGGGGGGUUGGUGUUGUAGUGGAUCCCAUCGAAUCUGGCAUCGAGGUAGGUCGCGGUGGUGGCCACCUGGGUGAGGAAGGGUGGCGGUGCUGGGAGGCCACGACUCAAGUGGGAACGAUGGUCGGGGACGGUUGGACGGUAGAGGCAGGGGCAAGACCGGAGACUUCGGGGAAGAUGGAGUAACUACUGUUAUUGACCCGUAGGUCACGUGACGAACUACUCACACAUCAUCACGGAGGCAACAAGUUUGACGAAGUUGGCCUCUGGAUUCUUCCUCCCACAAAACGCCGGAGAAGGCCUCCUGAUGGGACAGCGGAAGAUGAGAUGCUUGUGGUGGUGAUAAAAAUGUUUUGGGUCUCUCGCUCUGGUGGUUUAUAGAAUUUAGAGAAUAUAUAUAGGUGAAAUUCAAUCAAUGGGAUCCACGAGGGGGCCACAAGCUCACCCGAUGCUCCCCAUGGGGCACGCCACAUGAGCUUGUGGCUCCCUCGAAUGUCUUCUAG
rnacentral:lncRNA from 1 species